rnacentral:lncRNA from 1 species
CUGGUAAAAGUGUGAAUAUAAAUUCUUACCAUUAAAUGUACCGCUCUAUGCUCCAUGCUCCACUUGAAAAUUACCAAUAUAUCCCUGACGAAAUGAAUGUAAGAAAGGGACACGAGAGAGUGCAAGUGACCACAUUGACGAGAUGAUGUGUAGGCAUGACAUCAUGUGGUGUCAUCAUGAUAUCCCUCACAUUAUGUCAUGCACAUGCUAUUUGAAAAGA